AGAGACUUAGGCUAACAGAAGACCAAGGGCCUUCAAAGCCCUAAGCGAGAGUGAAAAUCUCUCAGUCCCUG
rnacentral:tRNA from 1 species